rnacentral:rRNA from 1 species
ACUUGAUUCUUUCACGUUUUAUAAAUAGAUUGUAUUCUAUGUAUAAAAUACAUAUGACAUAAACGGGUUAGAGCCAGGUUGGUUAGGCGCCUCAUUUGGGUUGAGGAAUAGUUAUGUUCGAAUCAUAAUAACCCGAUAUGUAUUUUUUUUUCUAAAAAAAUGAAAUUGUAUAUAAAAAUACAUAGUAAUGUAUUUGAUAUGUAAUGUAUUAUUUCAUAAUUUUAAUGUCUUAAUCCUAUUUAUAGUAUUUUUAUACUAUUCUAUAGUUUAAGAAUUAAUUUUAUGGUGAGUAUAUAAAGAGACUAUUAUGGUAAAAUAAAAAGCUGUAUAUUAGAUAAAAAGUGGAAGAAUUUCCAUUAACAAUACGAAGUGAAUUGAAAUAUCUUAAUAGCUUCAGGAAAAAAAAUCAAACGAGAUUCUAUUAGUAGUGUGAAUGAAAAUAGAGAAUAGGCUUAAAGUAAAAUGGAUUCAUCUGUUUGAAUAUAGGGGAACCUUCCUCUAAGCCUUAAUAUAAUAUACAAGAGAUAGAGAAUAGUACUGUGAAGGAAAUAUUGAAAGUAGUAGUCUUAGAAGCAGCUCGAGGUAAGUUUAACAAACAUAUGAGAGCGUACCUUUUGUAUAAUGGGUCAGCAAGUUCUAAUUAGAUGCAAGCAAGUGUUUAUAGAAAUAUAAGGAAAUUUGCCCAGAUAAUCCAAUUAUUAAGUAAUGAAUAAGUAUCUAAAUAGAGACCCGAAGAGUAGUGAUCUUACUAUGGUCAGGCUUAUAAAAGGCCGAAUGGGUUAUCGUUGUAAAGAUAUCCAAAGAACUGUGGUAAGUUAGUGAAAGACAAUCCUGACUACUAUAGCUGGUUUUCCGCGAAACAUAUGUAAGUAUGUAGUUUAAAUUACAUCAUAGCAGGUACAGAACUGUGAUCUCGGACAAGUUGUGCAUUAGUAUUCUUUUUAGGAUAGUAAUGUCUUGUGCAUAUGGGGGGGUCGUGAAGACUCUAUUCGCGAGUAUUUGCUCUCGGAAGGGCAAUGAUGAAUGUUGAACUAUCAGACAUUUAACGAUAAGGUUGUAUGUCAAAAGGGAAACAGCCCAGAACAAGUGUUUAAGGUUCCAAAGUUUUUGUUAAGUGAAAGUAAGGAAGUAUUUAAACUAUACAACCAGGAAAUAGGCUUAGAAGCGGCCAUUUUUUAAAGACCUCGUAACAGAGCACUGGUUCAACAAGUUCGUUACGAACUUAAUUAGUUAAAAGCGCCGAAGAUAUAACGGAUCUAAACAAAACACCGAUACCUUGUCCAUAAAGACUAGGGUUAUAGAAUUGUAAUCUUAUGUUAAAUAUUUACGAAGGAAAGUAAGUAUUGUUUAUGGGGUAGCGGAACAUUGGGUACAUAGGGGAGAAUUCUAGUGCCUUUAUAAAGUAGUAUGCUUAAUUCUACUUUACAAGAAAUAUAAAUGCUAGAAUCAUGAUUUUCGUAACCAUUGAAAAUCGUACUUCGGAAAAAGAAGUUACCAAAGAUAUCCCAAGGGAGAAUGCUGACACGAGUAACGAAAAAGAGUAGACCUAGAGGUCACUCUCGCCUUAAGCUUAUGGUAUUUAUAAAAUAAUCGGUCUCUAAAUUAAACCUAAAGGAUAAGAUGAUGAGAUUAUAUGUGAAACACAUAAAAAGUUGAGUAAAAUGUACUGGAAAAAAGGAAUAUACAGAUAAAGGAUAGAUAUCUGAGAAAGAUAAACUAUACCCAUGAAAAAAUAUUGUAAAAACCGUACCUAAAAACUACCACAAGUAAGCUAGUAGAGAAUACGAAGGCGUUUGAGCUAACAAUCAUUAAGGAACUCGGCAAAUUGACACCGUAACUGAGGGAGAAGGUGUGCCACUCCUACUGAGUAAUAUCAGGAUAGGGGGAGGAGACAUAGAAUGGUGUUGCACGACUGUUUAAUUAAAACACAGCACUUUGCGUAAGAUGUAAAUCAAUGUAUAGAGUGCGCUAUCUGCCCAAUGAUGGCUGGUUAACGGAUUUACUUAGACGACUAAAAUAGGCUAGGUUUUGAAGGAACCCCCAUUUAAUGGCGGCCUUACCUAUGAGGGUCCUAAGGUAGCGAAAUACCUUGGCAUUUAAAUGAUGUCGCGCAUGAAUGAUCUCACGAUGCAACAGCUGUCUCAAUGAUUGGCUCAGUGAAACUGGAAUGGCAGUGAAGAUACUGCCUAUCUCUAGAUAGACGAGAAGACCCCAUGCAGCUUUACUGUUACUAGUUAUAGGGUAUAAUUGAACAGGUUUUAGGGAAUAAGGUAGUUGAAAGACAAAAUUGAAACACCUUUACUCUGGUUGUUAUAUCAGUAGAAUAAGUUUACAUAGUAUUCUUGUUUACUUACGUCUUUAUGUAAUCCAGAAAAGGAGAAUUGAUAAAAUAGAAAAGAAGAAUAAAUUAGAAAAGAUAUCAAUUUCUCAGGAGACAAUGGCUAGCAGAUGGUUUAUGCGGGGCACAGAUCCCAUAAAGAGUACCUGGGAGUAUCCAAAUUUAAUUUUGUAAAAAUGCUAUACGCAGAAUACAUAUAGAGCUUUUUUUAAGAAUUGCUUUAUGGUAUUGUUAACUUUAAUUAUUAUAGUUAGUUUGUUAUUUUUUAUAGUUACCAUUUUUGGUAUCUAUAACUAAUUCAGUUAUAUUUCUAUUUGAGUUAGAACUAAAACAAUUUAAUUUAAGUAAGAUUUUACCUAUGGGGAAAAUAGGUGUAUAUAGAGUAUUAAUAAUUACUAUUA